rnacentral:rRNA from 1 species
AUACGUAGGGGGCAAGCGUUGUCCGGAAUUAUUGGGCGUAAAGCGCAUGUAGGCGGUGUCUUAAGUCUGUCGUGAAACUGCGGGGCCUAACCCCGGAAGGCGAUGGAAACUGGGGCACUUGAGUGCAGGAGAGGAAAGGGGAACUCCCAGUGUAGCGGUGGAAUGCGUAGAUAUUGGGAAGAACACCGGUGGCGAAGGCGCCUUUCUGGACUGUGUCUGACGCUGAGAUGCGAAAGCCAGGGUAGCGAACGGGAUUAGAUCCCCCGGUAGUCCUGGCCGUAAACGAUGGGUACUAGGUGUGGGAGGUAUCGACCCCUUCCGUGCCGGAGUUAACGCAAUAAGUACCCCGCCUGGGGAGUACGGCCGCAAGGCUUAAACUCAAAGGAAUUGACGGGG